UACAGAGGUCCCAAGCGUUGUUCGGAUUCACUGGGCGUAAAGGGUGCGUAGGCGGUCGGAUAAGUCUGAUGUGAAAUCUUCGAGCUCAACUCGGAAACUGCAUCGGAAACUAUUCGGCUAGAGGAUUGGAGGGGAGACUGGAAUUCUCGGUGUAGCAGUGAAAUGCGUAGAUAUCGAGAGGAACACCAGUGGCGAAGGCGAGUCUCUGGACGACUCCUGACACUGAGGCACGAAAGCUGGGGAGCAAACAGG
rnacentral:rRNA from 1 species